GGCUCCAUAGUGUAGUGGUUAGCACAUCUGCUUUGCAUGUCAGAAGGUCCUGGGUUCGCCCCCCAGGUGGAGCCA
rnacentral:tRNA from 1 species